GCGUUCGUUGGUUGGAAACCUGCCGCGCCGGAUUGUGGAUCCGGAGGUCGGCGGUUCAAGUCCGCUUGGCCACCC
rnacentral:tRNA from 1 species